AACGAACGCUGGCGGCAGGCCUAACACAUGCAAGUCGAGCGGACCCUUCGGGGCUAGCGGCGGAGGGGUGAGUAACGCGUGGGAAUAUGCCCUUCUCUACGGAAUAGUCCUGGGUAACUGGGGGUAAUACCGUAUACGCCCUUUUGCGGAAUGAUUUCUCGGGGAAGGAUGAGCCCGGGGUGGAUUAGUUAGUUGGUGGGGUAAUGGCCUACCAAGCAGUCGAUCUAUAGCUGGAUUGAGAGGGUGAUCAGGCACACUGGGACUGCGACACCGCCCGGGCUGAAAAGGGAAGAAGCAGUGGGGAAUCGAAGAAAAGGGGGGCAACCCGGAACGAGCCAUGCCGCGUGAGAAAUGAAGGCCGUAAGGUUGGAAGGCACUUUCAGCUGGGAAGAGAAGAACGGUACCAGCAGAAGAAGCCCCGGCUAACUACGUG
rnacentral:rRNA from 1 species